rnacentral:lncRNA from 10 species
UGUAGGAUCUGCUGCCAAGAUGGCCAAAUAGGAGCAGCUCCAGUCUGCAGCUCCCAGAAAGACCAACGCAGAAGCCCAGGAAAGAAGUGCCUGGACUGAUCUACCCACAGGAGUAACUGCUUCAAGCUGCCACCAUGGGAAUAGACUGCUCCUCCUCUGCCUUUCUUGGCCUAAACCCUGAACCAGGAAACAUCCAGCAACAAAACAUGGAUUUGCUUUUUACAAUGUGGCACCCAAAACUGAACUGAGUCUCUUCAAAAUGAUGAUGUAACCACUCCAAAGUCUGACUCAUUCCCACUCUCACUCAUUGAUCCAAUCAGUGGGUAUUUAUUGGGCAUCAUCAACUGGCACAGUCCUCUGCUUCAUGCCAUGGGAAGCAAAGGACAUAGCAGCUGAGAUACCACCUUCCAGGAGUCUUUGCUGGAGAUGUCUAAGUAGCAAAUGAA